rnacentral:rRNA from 1 species
CCUACGGGAGUCAGCAGUGAGGAAUAUUGGUCAAUGGGCGCGAGCCUGAACCAGCCAAGUCGCGUGAGGGAUGAAGGUUCUAUGGAUCGUAAACCUCUUUUAUAAGGGAAUAAAGUGUGGGACGUGUCCUAUUUUGUAUGUACCUUAUGAAUAAGGAUCGGCUAACUCCGUGCCAGCAGCCGCGGUAAUCCGGAGGAUCCGAGCGUUAUCCGGAUUUAUUGGGUGUAAAGGGUGCGUAGGCGGCCUUGUAAGUCAGCUGUGAAAGUCUGUGGGUCAACCAUAGAAUUGCCGUUGAAACUGGGGGGCUUGAGUAUGUUUGAGGCAGGCGGAAUGCGGGGUGUAGCGGUGAAAUGCGUAGAUAUCGCGCAGAACCC